rnacentral:rRNA from 1 species
AUUGAACGCUGGCGGCAGGCCUAACACAUGCAAGUCGAGCGAGCGGCGGACGGGUGAGUAAUGUCUGGGACACUGCCUGAUGGAGGGGGAUAACUACUGGACACGGUCUCUAAUACCGCAUACCAUCAGAUGUGCCCAGAUGGGAUUAGCUAGUAGGUGGGGUAACGGCUCACCUAGGCGACGAUCCCUAGCUGGUCUUAGAGGAUGACCAGCCACACUGGAACUGAGACACGGUCCAGACUCCUACGGGAGGCAGCAGUGGGGAAUAUUGCACAAUGGGCGCAAGCCUGAUGCAGCCAUGCCGGGGGGGUGAAGAAGGCCUUCGGGUUGUAAAGCACUUUCAGCGAGGAGGCGUUACUCGCAGAAGAAGCACCGGCUAACUCCGUGCCAGCAGCCGCGGUAAUAC